CUUUUCCUACGGGAGGCAGCAGUGAGGAAUAUUGGUCAAUGGGCGGGAGCCUGAACCAGCCAAGCCGCGUGAGGGAAGAAGGUACAGCGUAUCGUAAACCUCUUUUGUCAGGGAACAAAGGCGGGGACCAGUCCCCGGAUGAGGGUACCUGAAGAAAAAGCAUCGGCUAACUCCGUGCCAGCAGCCGCGGUAAUACGGAGGAUGCGAGCGUUAUCCGGAUUUAUUGGGUUUAAAGGGUGCGCAGGCGGCCUGUUAAGUCAGCGGUAAGAGCCCUGGGCUCGACCCCGGCGAGCCGUUGAAACUGG
rnacentral:rRNA from 1 species